AUUCGUCCCACGAAUUGGGUUUCGUCCCAUAUUUGCCCUAAUAUUCUCGAUCCAUUCCAAAAUUCUCUAUCUCCUCUUCUCUUCUCAACUCAGUGACGGCAGCAGCGCGCAAUCCCUCUUCUUCGUCGAUGUCUCCGGCAGGUAAGCUUCAUUACUCUCCCAUCUCCUCUCCGGCGUUUUCGGCGCAUUGCGGCCAGCCGUGCCUUGUCGGCGCGGCUGGCCUUGCACGGCAGCUGCGGGGCGCCGGAUCUGGCCUUGGCUGGCCCGCUGGCGGCCAGGGUCGGCCGCUGGCGGCCCCCUGUCGGCCUCUGGUGGCCCAGGCGGCCGCUGGUUGGCCAGGAGGGCCGCUAGCGGCCGAUCGUCGCCCCCCUGGGCCGCUGUGGCCCCCUGGCCGCUACCGGGCCGGAGUGGCCGCUGCCGGCCCCUAGGUGCACCGGAUGCAUACUGCCUUCAGGGACUAUGAGAGGAGUUACGACGCCCACAUCGUAGGGUCACUUCACUAUGCCAGUGACACUUUCUCAGAGAGGAUGUCGGACCUCGUCUACGCUGUCAAGGGCAAGGACACCCUAGUCUUUCAUUGCGCCCUCAGCCAGGUCGCCCCUUUUCUUCUCUUGUCAAUUGUUGUGGCUGGUGUGUUGGUGGUGAACUCCACUGCUGUGCGUGGUGGUUUUAGCUUGUAGCAAUGAUCCUCAAGAUGAGAAUGACGUAGGGUGCUACAAGGGGAGGUUUUGCAGAAAAAGAAUGGUUAUUCUUGCUGAUACAAUCUUGCCUAAGAUUGAAAGUAACAAGUUUAAUGAGAUUGUGGAUCCAACAUGUGCAGACAACAUGUGCAGCAAUAGCAGAAUAGAGUCUAAACUAGAGAAUACAAAUUAGAACAUAUCAGAGAUGACCAUUCAUCGGAAAUGUGUAUUCCUUUUGAGGAAAGAAGUUUGAAGGUGAUUGUGUUGAAGGCAACGGACAAGCAAUCAAAAAAGUUGUAGCUGGUAUUGGAAUUAUCAAGGAAAAGAAGAAAGGAAAAGAAGGCGAAUGCAGCUCAGGAUGACGAUUUGUAUUUUUUUUUUUUUUUUUUUGCUUUGGAUGCCUCGUUAGAUUUGUUGUUUGGAUUAUGACUUGUUGACCUUUGGUAUUUUGAAUAUUAUAUGACUUGUUGUUUGGAUGUUGUUUAUUUGUGUAUGAAUAUGAUGUGUUUAGUUUUGAAUGACUUUUUGGAAUGUUGGA